AGAUUAGGUGGCUCUGGGGCUAUCCGGCCAGCAUGGACGCUGGCAAAGCGGGGCAGACCCUGAAGACUCACUGCUCAGCCCAGGUGAGAGCCUUCUGAGCUGUGCCUGGGGCUGGGGGGACAGGGCCCUGGAACCCCAGCAGCCGGCGGGUCUGGGAGCUGCUGUCCUUGAGUUGGUUGGGCCCUGGGAAGCUGGGUUCUGGCAGCCUGGUCCCUCAAUGGGUCUAGCCUGUACGGCUGGGGUCCCAGGUGGGGGUGGGACAGGAGCCAUGAGAUCUGAGUCCCAAGAAUGGGGGCUGGGCUGGGUUUCGGCUCAGUAGCUCCCCACUCCCCAAAGCGCCCAGAUGUCUGCAGGUGGCUGAGCCCCUUCAUCCUCUCCUGCUGCGUGUACUUCUGCCUCUGGAUUCCCGAGGACCAGCUGUCCUGGUUCGCUGCCCUGGUCAAGUGCCUGCCCGUCCUCUGCCUGGCUGGGUUCCUGUGGGUCAUGUCCCCAAGCGGGGGCUACACCCAGUUCCUCCAGGGAGCCCUUGUGUGCUCGGCUGUGGGGGACGCUUGCCUCAUCUGGCCGGCAGCCUUCGUCCCUGGCAUGGCCGCCUUUGCCACCGCCCACCUCCUCUACGUCUGGGCCUUCGGCUUCUCUCCCCUGCAGCCCGGCCUGCUGCUGCUCAUCAUCCUGGCCUCUGGCCCCUACCUCAGCCUUGUGCUCCAGCACCUCGAGCCAGAUAUGGUCCUUCCGGUGGCAGCCUAUGGGCUGAUCCUGAUGGCCAUGCUGUGGCGCGGCCUGGCCCGGGGCGGGAGUGCCGGCUGGGGCGCGCUGCUCUUCACGCUCUCUGAUGGUGUGCUGGCCUGGGACACCUUCGCCCAGCCCCUGCCCCAUGCCCGCCUGGUGAUCAUGACCACCUACUAUGCUGCCCAGCUCCUCAUCACACUGUCAGCCCUCAGGAGCCCGGUGCCCAAGACUGACUGACUAGGGAGCUUGAAGGGCCGGUGUUCAGGCCCUCUCCUCCUGCAAGGACCUGGGCCUCCCAGCCCAGCCCAGCCUGAGAAAUACCCUCAGCAGCGAAGCUUCCUGACGCCUGUCUGCAGGCGCUGCUGCCGCCGUUGCUUCUGGCUGAAGACGUUUGAGGACGAUUUGCGGAAUUCCAAGUCCACUACUGGGUUCCAGCUGCCUUCCCCCGGUUCUGACUCCAGAUCCCUGGCUCCUCAGCCAGGCCCACAUGGAGUCCUCCCAGCCACCAGCCUGCCUCCAUGUUCACUGUCGGCUCCACAGCCUGCCCGCCCCCUGCUGCUGCUCUGAAUCUGUUUUCCCUGUGGGUGUGGAACCGUAGAUGUUGCUGUUACCGUAGGAGAGGCCUCGGGGAGGGUCAUCAUUGUGAUAAACCAUCGCAGUUAAUGACAGCAGAAGGUUCUUUGUCGCUCCCCAUGGACCAGGCCUGGUGCCCAGUGGGACCCUCCAUGGCCCUCUGGUGGGGGGAUUCGGGGGGAUAAAGUGAGGAUUGUGCAGAACUG
rnacentral:sRNA from 1 species